CACUUUCCUGGGCCGGGGUAGCGCUCUAGGGCAGAAGGGUAAACUCAGGCUUGAAGAGCCUUCUAGAGAGGACUCAACCUCAGGGAAGAAGCCAUCUGACAUAUGAACUUGAUCCAAGAAUGUCACCAGCUCCUUGGAGCCUCUCUAGAUUCCACCCUCUUCAUACAAGUUAUCCUUCUCCACCCUGCUCUGAGGACCAGGAGAUUGACUUCUACCAACUGCAUUGAUGGCAUCAUCCAGGUGCCCUGACCUCUGGUUUCCAGGUGGAUCUUGCCAAUAGGGAGCAUGGCAGGAGAUCAGAGAGCAGGAGGAGAGAAAAGCUGGAUUAUCUAUUCUUCCUGAUCUCCCCUGUUUUGCUCUGGCUACAGCUGUAGUUGGUGUCAUCUGGCCUCUCCGCCAUGAUUCCACCUCCCACUUAGUCCAGUAACACUAUUUCUCACAUUUGUUUCUUCACUUCAGACUGGGGUGGGAUUGGCUUUCUUCUGCUGAUUGUCCUUGGAUGCCUCAGCAUUCCUGUUGCCCCCCUCAGCCCGCCCACCUUAACCUUGCCCACACCUCCAAAAUAGUCUCUCUUAAUGGUAAAGAGCAGCAGUUACUUU
rnacentral:lncRNA from 1 species